rnacentral:piRNA from 1 species
UGGUGACCAAAUCCAGAAGACUGACCUGAGC